rnacentral:tRNA from 1 species
AAGCCUUUAAGUUAAACUAAACUAAUAGCCUUCAAAGCUAGAAAUGAUACCCUCUCUCAAGACUUA